GCACUCCACUAUGGAGAAAUGGGCCACCUGAGAAGCCAGUGUUAUGCAAUGCCUGUGGAUCAAGGUACAGGAUUAGAGGAUGUCUUGCAAACUAUACACCUAAGCAUGCCCAAGGACAACCAACUGCUAAAAGGAAUCUGCAAUAUCAUGUUCCCAGAGCUGCUACAAUGUAAAAGAAGAAGAGAAUGGAGGUGAAAGUCCAGGUGGAUUAAUCCAGGGAAGCUUGUGGAAGUCUGGUAUACCUUCAAGAAAGAGGUCUGUAAAUGUUCAACGCUGUCUUACACCCAUUGAAAGACUUCAAAGGGAGCAUUGCAAUAUUUUGAAGAAUCAUCCUUCCAUCUUGUCUGAAAAUGAAGAGGAUGAUCUUCUCAUUUAUAAUGCAAACAACCUGCAAGUAUCCUGCAAUGAAAUUGGCCUUGGAGGCUUUCUUCUCAAACCCAAUACCACCACCACUACCAUUACUACUACCACAGAAGUUCCACCAGCUGAGCCUGAGAAACACUCCUCAGCAGUAGAUAUCAAGGAUUCUGCUUUAAUUGAGUCCCAAAGUAGAUCCUCAUCAUCCAUGGGUGGGUUUCAAGAAAAUUGAACCAGUUGCAGAUGGCUAGCUUCAAGGGCAACUGGGCAAGAGCAGGUGGAACCAUAUUAAAAAACUGUAGUCACAUUUUUAUUUUUUCAUUUUUGCCAUCCAUUGAAAUCUCAAAAAUGUACUUCUUUACAUUAAUUUGAUGUAUUUAUUUUUAACAGUUUGCAGUAAAACUAAAUUUGACUGAUAAAUUAUAAGAUUAAUUUUAUUA